GCAAAAAAAAAAAAAAAAAAAAAAAAAAAAAAAAAAAAAAAAAAAAAAAGCUCAGCGAGAAACGCUUCUCUCUCUUCAAUGGGUAAUCUGCCACUGCCAGCCACCGCUGCUACCUGUGUGCCAACCUGCCGCCGCACCGUCCAUCCACCGCACUCCAGUCUCCAGCCACCGCACUCCAGUCUCUAGCCACCGCACAGCCACACUCUAGACAAGUUAAUUUCGUAUUCAUACUUAACUAUUGAUUUUAAGCUUUUGAUUUGUUAUUCUACAUGAGUUGUUGGGUUGAUUUUGUGCAUAAAUUACUUGUUUAUAUUAUUUAAUCUAUCAAGUUAGUGUGGAUGUUGCUUGAAAUUGAUGAUUUGUUAUUUAGUUUAUCAAAUUAGAGAGUUAGGGUUUUUUAAUUUCUUAGGAAUUGAUAAUAUUGGUUUUCUCGAUUUUUUUUUUCCUUAGGAAUUGAUAAUAUUGGUUUUCUGGAUCAGCCAUUGGUGUAAGUUAUCUUUAGGAAUGAAAUUAAUUAAUUGAUUUCUAUCAAUCAAAAUUCAAAGAAAAAAGGAUUACAAGCUCAGCCCACCUUCUUUAUGAAAUUAAUGACCAGAUUAUAUAGUCAUUAUUUAUCCUGCUUAACUUGAAUUUGCUUGUAGAUACCGUAGUAAUGUUAGAUUUCAGAAUUGCAUUUAUUUCGUUAAUAUAUGAGCUGUUGUACAUUCAAUUGUUGCUUAAGAUCUGUAGCCAUUUUAUUGACAUCUCCACUUGAUUAAUGUGUUUAUUGAUGGAAAUAAUUCACAUACAAUAUUUUGUUGGAUGCAAUUUGGUACAAUAAUGUUUAGAUGGAAUAAUUUGCAUGCGAUUAACUAAUUUCUUUAAUCAAGACAUAUUCUACAUAGAUGUUCAAGAAUGUGGAUUGUGUGUGAGAGUUUGGUGUUAGCAUUGCUUUUAUGUGGAAAAAGCUGAGUUAGUGUUAUUGUCUACUCUGUAUUAUUGUUGCUUGAAUGUUAACAUUGCUGCUAUAGUUUUUCCGUUCAAUUGCUACUGUAUUUUGUCUGAAAUUAUUGUUGCAUGUAAUAAUGUUGUUGUCGCCAUGUUGUAUUGCUGCUAUUGUUACUUUGCAGUUGCCCCAUAGCUGCAGUUCUAUCCGUCCCAAAAUUAUGGACCUACAGUCGUUUUUAGCCCCUAGCCCCUUCAUAAAAGUUAUAGAUCUUGCAAAGUUAUCCAAUCUAGGCUCAAAAAUUUCUCAAUUUGGAAUUGUGUGCUGAAAGUUAUGCCUUCUAGAAAUUUCUGUGGUCUGCUAACUUGGUUCUAUCGCAACAAGUUAUUAUUGUUCUCUUGAUGCCUAUGUGAGGUUGUUGCAUUGAGUUGGGUAGGGUUGCUAAAUUGAAUACUGUGCCUUUUCUUUUUUAUUUUUAUUCUAUUUUCCCUACAAUUUUUUACAAAUUACUUCUUAAAUUAAUAUGUGGAUUUGGAAAUACUGGUGUCUUUUGUAAACAAAUGCUUGAUUUUGGUACAUUUCUAAACUUGAAGUGAUUGAGAAGAAUUCUUGAUGUUUUCAGAAAUUAGCUUGAGAGAACCAUACAAGUUAUAGUUGUGCCAGAUUAUAAACGGAUUUUGGGGCUCGGUUAUCUUGGUUGUCAGGUGGUUAGAUGUGCCCUAGCUCUAAAUAGAUCAUUAUUAUUGUAAAACUUGUGUGAUUUCAUAGUUGUAAAAAUGAACAUGUUUGUGGAAAAAUUGGCUCAUUAAACAACACUUGGAGGAGUUUGUCCAUCAAGGGUAAGCAAAAUAGAUCCUUUGUGAAUUUAUUAUGUUGAAUAUAUAAUUUGAGAAGGUUCGUCCUACCUCUCUUGUUUCAGUGUUUGCCAAUAACCACUGAUGUCAGGACUUACAGCGAGAAAAUGCUUAACGAUGAGUUCUACAUUGGUCUAUGACAAAGAAGAGCCACUUGGAAGUAAUAUGAUGAGCUUCUUGAGGAGUUCAUGAGUGCAGUAAAGCAGAACUAUGGAGAAAAGUUCUUGUUAUACAGGUUUGUUACUAGACUUACUACUGUCUAUGAUUAUAAUUUCCAUUAUUUAAAGUAAUCUGUAUCCUUUCAUAUUUUAAAAUUUAAUUGGAUUUAUAACUGAAAUUCAAAGACUACCAACCAUAAUGCCUUCAAGCUGCUCUCAAAAUACUCAACAAGUUAUCGUGUGUUAGUUCAAUGGUGAUAUUCAGGGGACUACAUCUAUUGUCCUAACAAGAAUUCUUUUCGCACUGAAAUUAGUUGGUGGCACCUUGGCUGAACAUAUAUUUUUAUUCCUUGGACCAGGAGAGGUAAGAAUGAUACCUUUUUUUUCUUUGACGUUGAGCUCUGAGUGUAAAGUGGUUCUGAUUGAAUUACAGUGAAGCUAACAUUUUUAUUCAAUUACGGUGAAGCUGAUUCCUGUCAUAUGACAUUGUAGGCUGCCAAAGGUUUUAAUUCUUUGUUUAGAAUUUCAAUUAUUUAUCUUAAAUUUUGAAAAACUAUAUUAUUCUUUAACUUUUUUAUUUGAUUGGUAUUACAGGUAAAGCACAUGGAAGAAAGAUAUAUAUUGAAGACAGAGAAAGAGAGUUGAUUUAUUGGAGCUUUAGAUUGUCUAUAGUCAAUUGACUUGUUUCCCGCUUUGGACGUUACAAUCCCUCCAAUGUAUAUACAAUUAGAUACGAACAAUUAGUGGUACUAAUAAUGUACUAGUUUGUGAAUCUAUUUAGCUUUUUUAGGGUAGACACAUUGUGUAGUAUAUUUACUUGGAUAUUGUUUUUGGAUUUUGAUAGAUGUGUUCACAUGCGUUAUGAUAUAAAAAAUUUUACAUCUAUAUUGAUGUUCAGCUUCCAUUUA